GCUACAGACGAGCAUGGCUCGGCUCUAUGGCAGUAGCGGCAGACGGAGGACGACAGACGGAGGGUGGCGACGGCGGGCGACCGGCUUUGGCAGCAGCCAACAAAGUUUGGUGGUUGUCAAAGUAUCGUGUUCCCCAGGCGAAAGCCAUGACCGGUCAGACUGGGAACUACAAAGUAUGAUGCAUUAUGCUCCUUGUUGAAGGCGUUGCGGUGAGGAACUUGACCCAGGACUUUUUCCAGGUGAAAACUAAAGAACUGAAGUAGGUUCCGACGGCGGCGGCAUCUUGAUGUCGCUUUCCUCUUGAGGUGCCGUUUUGGAGUCCUUGGAUGGCAGCGGUACCCGUUCAGCUUGGAGGGAUGACGAUUUCAGUGUAAUACCAGUGUGCAUGGUAGAGUUUAACUAAGUGCAGUUUCUACGUGACGGGAAACAAUUGGCCGUCAAGCAGGAUAAUCCUAACUUCUAAAGUUUCUAAGAAAAUGAUAGAUGGGAGGGAUUAGUUGCUGCACAAGACCCAUGGCUAGGUGGAAGCAAGAGCAUAGAAGAAGUUUGAAGCUUAGUUUUUAUAGCUUGCUUUCUUAUUUUCUUUGACCCUCAUGUUGAGGUGUGGAGCCUAAGUACCGAUGUACCUCCGGACUAGAUGGUCGGAUUUGUUUCUUUGUG
rnacentral:lncRNA from 1 species